rfam:Bombyx mori DNA, contig: Bm_scaf40_contig23092, strain: p50T/Dazao, build 2, whole genome shotgun sequence.
UUAAAUAAAAUUUGUAUAGAGUUGGAACGUUUGUCUAUGUUUGCCGCUAGGGGCGCUGUAUCCAACUGCAUACAAAUUUGAGUUA